CAAAUCCGUGCACAGAAUGCAAGGCGUGAAGUGGAGCGAACGAGCAAUCAAGUAGUGAAGCGAUUGAUGCCAGCUUUCAAGAAAAGUUGCUAACGUAAUUAUAUGCGGCCCGUACCGAGAACGGACACACGUGGUCAAGGAGAGUAUCCUAAGGUGAGCGAGUGAACUGUUGUUAAGGAACUCUGCAAAAUUACUUCGUAAGUUCGCAAGAAGAAGUGCUACAGCGAUGUAGCCGCAGUGAAGAGGCCCAAGUAACUGUUUAACAAAAACACAGCUUUAUGCUAAGUCGUAAGACGAUGUAUAUGAGGUGAUGCCUGCCCAGUGCUGGAAGGUUAAAAGGAGAUGUGGUCCGCAAGGAGAAGCAUUGAUCUGAAGCCCCAGUGAACGGCGGCCGUAACUAUAACGGUCCUAAGGUAGCGAAAUUCCUUGUCGGGUAAGUUCCGACGCGCAUGAAUGGUAUAAUAAUUUGGGCGCUGUCUCGACAGCAGACUCGGUGAAAUCUUAAUACCUGUGAACAUGCAGGUUACCCGCGACUAGACGGAAAGACCCCAUGGAGCUUUACUAUAGCUUAAUAUUGAAUAGUUGAAAAUCCUGUACAGGAUAGGUAGGAGACUAAGAAGUUUGUGCGUCAGCAUGAAUGGAGUCAACGGUGGGAUACUACUCUUGAUUUUCGAUUGUUCUAACUUAGAAUCAAAACGGGUUCGAGGACAGUGUUAGGUGGGUAGUUUGACUGGGGCGGUCGCCUCCUAAAGAGUAACGGAGGCGCCCCAAGGUACCCUCAGUAUGGUUGGAAAUCAUACAACGAGUGCAAAGGCAUAAGGGUGCUUGACUGCGAGACCUACAAGUCGAGCAGGGACGAAAGUCGGGCUUAGUGAUCCGGCGGUUCCGAGUGGAAGGGCCGUCGCUCAACGGAUAAAAGCUACCCUGGGGAUAACAGGCUUAUCGCGUCCAAGAGUUCACAUCGACGACGCGGUUUGGCACCUCGAUGUCGGCUCAUCGCAUCCUGGAGGGGAAGUACCUUCCAAGGGUAUGGCUGUUCGCCAUUUAAAGCGGUACGCGAGCUGGGUUCAAAACGUCGUGAGACAGUUUGGUCCCUAUCUGUCGUGGGCGUAGGAAGUUUGAAAGGAGCUGUCCCUAGUACGAGAGGACCGGGAUGGACAUAGCAAUGGUACACCAGUUGUCACGCCAGUGGCACAGCUGGGUAGCUACCUAUGGAUCGGAUAAACGCUGAAAGCAUCUAAGCGCGAAGCCGUCCUUAAGAUAAGACUUCCCAUUCGCAAGAAGUAAGAUCCCUUCAAAGUUAGGAGGUUGAUAGGUCAUAGAUGUACGCAUAGUGAUAUGUUUAGUCAAGUGAUACUAAUAGAUCGAGGACUUAAGAUA
rnacentral:rRNA from 1 species